GCCUGGGUGGCUCAGUCGGUUGAGCGUCUGACUUUGGCUCAGGUCAUGAAAUCUCAAUUCGUGAGUUCAAGCCCCGCAUCGGACU
rnacentral:tRNA from 1 species